GGAGGAACCAUAGCUCAGUGGUAGAGCAUCUGCUUUGCAUGCAAAAGAUCCCGGGUUCAAUCCCCGGUGUCUCCA